rnacentral:rRNA from 1 species
AGAGUUUGAUCAUGGCUCAGAUUGAACGCUGGCGGCAGGCCUAACACAUGCAAGUCGAGCGCGAAAGUUCUUCGGAGUGAGUAAAGCGGCGGACGGGUGAGUAACGCGUGGGAAUCUGCCUGGUAGUGGGGGACAACGUUCGGAAACGAACGCUAAUACCGCAUACGCCCUACGGGGGAAAGGGGGGGAUCUUCGGACCUCUCGCUAUCAGAUGAGCCCGCGUCGGAUUAGCUAGUUGGUGGGGUAAAGGCCUACCAAGGCGACGAUCCGUAACUGGUCUGAGAGGAUGAUCAGUCACACUGGAACUGAGACACGGUCCAGACUCCUACGGGAGGCAGCAGUGGGGAAUAUUGGACAAUGGGGGAAACCCUGAUCCAGCCAUGCCGCGUGUGUGAAGAAGGCCUUAGGGUUGUAAAGCACUUUCAGUGGGGAGAAAGGUUGUUUACUUAAUACGUGAGCAAAUUGAUGUUACCCACAGAAGAAGCACCGGCUAACUCCGUGCCAGCAGCCGCGGUAAUAC